AACGCACAUUGCGCCCGCCAGCUAUUCUGGCGGGCAUGCCUGUUCGAGCGUCAUUUCAACCCUCAAGCCCCAGCGGCUUGGUGUUGGCGCGCGGCCGGACCCAGUGCCCGGCCGCCGCCGAAAUGCAGGGGCGGUCGCCUCGCGGCAACCAUUACGCAGUAGUAACAUCUCGUAACUGGGACGCGGAGCGGCCACGCCUAACAAACUCCAUUUUCUUAGAGUUGACCUCGGAUCAGGUAGGGAUACCCGCUGAACUUAA
rnacentral:misc_RNA from 1 species